rnacentral:lncRNA from 1 species
AUCAUCCGGAUCUGGAAUCCCUGGGGCCAUGGGGAGUGGAAGGGGCCCUGGAGUGAUAACUCUCCUCACUGGGACCGUGUUGAGCCUGACUACAGAGAAGCCCUCCUCAGAAAUAAGGAUGAUGGAGAAUUCUGGAUGUCCUGUAAGGACUUCCAGGAGCAGUUUUCAUGGCUGUAUAUAUGCAACAACACCCCAACAUUCCUGGACUUUGGAGAUGAGCAGGGCUCAACAGCGUGGUCUCUGAGCAGCUACACCAACCUGUGGAGCCCGGGCCUUCCCAGCAGGAGGAGCCGCUAUUCCCAGGCAGGUGCAGCUUCAACAAACCCUCAGUACUUUUUCAAAGUGCUGGAUCACAACCCAAAAACCUGCAAUGUAGCAAUUUCACUCAUGCAGAAACACACUGUGCAGGAGGAAAAAAAACUGAGGAUUGGCUUUUUCAUCACCACGGAGAAUUCCAGGGUUCUGAAGCAAACCUUUCUCCAGACUCGAGAUGUGACCAGCUACUUGAUCCUGAGCCCAGGCACCUACGCCGUGGUUCCUGCUGCAGCAGAGGACCAGGAAUUCCGAUUUCUCCUACGAAUUUUCAUCAAGAACCAAGACUACCAUGAGUAAGAUGAUACACACUCCUUAAAGGCCUCAGACCCACGGUGUGCCAGGAAUCAACUAUUUGCUGCCAAGACAACUGCUGUGGCAAUUUGCUUUUGGUGUGUCCUAGGAGGGUGGGGAAGGCACGGAGGAGGCAGAGCAGCUGUUGGGUGGGA